rnacentral:rRNA from 1 species
AAGCGGGAAGAGCUCAUGUUGUAAAUCUCCAGCUUGCUGGCGAAUUGUAGUCUAAAGGUGCGUGCUCAGUCGUGGUCCCGGGCUAAGUCUGUUGGAAAACAGCAUCAUGGACGGUGACAAUCCGGUUCUUGCCUGGGGUCCCGCGGCGUACGAGCCGUUUCCGACGAGUCGUGUUGCUUGGGAUUGCAGCACUAAGUGGGUGGUAAAUUCCAUCUAAAGCUAAAUAUUGGUGGGAGACCGAUAGCGAACAAGUACCGUGAGGGAAAGAUGAAAAGACUUUUGAAAAGAGAGUAAAAUAGUACCUGAAACUGCUGAAAGGGAAGCGAUUGAAGUCAGUGUUGCUCCUGGUCUUUUUGCCGUCGCCCCUGUGGGGGUUGCGGCGUGGGGCCUGGAGCGUUUCAACAUGCGUUCUGUUCCGCGGGAAAUGUUCAGUGUGCUGGAACCUUCGGGGAAACGCACUGUUCUUGUCGUGGUUAGGACGGAGGACCUUUGCUCCUUUGACUGCGCGUUCCUCUCUCGGGUAUGCUGGUGUCUACUGCUUGCAGUUUUCAUUUUCAUGCUUGCGACUGUGCGUGUUAUUCAUGAGCGAACAUGAUGUUGAAGAAAUGGCUUUAAUUACCCCGUCUGGGAACACGGACCAAGGA